CUUGCUGCCAGUACCUCAAGGUGCACAACCUCCCUAUUUACUGCAUUCUCUGCCCAGCAAGAGAAUACCCAAAGAUCAUGUGGAGCAGGUGAUGGAACCCCCUGGGAACCUGUGUGUCAGAACUAAUAUUUGCUAAUUUUCUAGGGGAUGUGAAGCCAGAAUGGAUGUGUGUCUGUUUCCUGACUGCUUGUGACAAGGAGGAAAUACAAAAGAAAGAAAGAACUGCUAAAUGUUAACAAGCAGCUCUAGCAGCUACUGCAAUAGGAUUAAAGGAAAAAAACACCUGAUUUCAGCAUCUGUUUCUUUUCAAAUGGAAUCAAAUGGAGUCCUGGAAAAUUUUUGUUCCUGCUACAUUUUGUGCUAAAAUAGUAAGAUGGAUGAGAUUGUAAUGACACAAGGAAAGUCAGUAUAAUCACCCUUACUACACUUGAGAAUCAAUCCUGGCUCCACAAAAGCAAGGAAUGAAGACUGUAUUCCCAAAGGACUACCUGAUAUUUGCAUACCCCUAAAAGCAGCCUUGCAAAGCGAGUCAACUUUUUCAACAGCCCAGGAGUCAUGAAAAGGAAGAAGAAGUCCUGUUAAUAUCAGUAAUUAUCAAGUAAGGUGUAGGUUAUCAGCCUCCUGCAGAAGCACUGGGGACGUCAGUGGGAGUUGAGCAGGGGCGCAGAGCCGGGUCCUUCGUUCGUCCCGCAGCACACGCUGUGUCCCUGCCGCGGAGGUGUUCCUGUCCUGCACCUGCCCGAGCACUGCGCUGGGAGACUAGAGCAGCUGCAGGACACCAUCUAGUGGUGCCGAGCCCGAGAUAAUUACAGACUUUAUCUUCCCUCGUCUCUUUUUAGCUCAGAUUUCUUCUCUAAACCACAGCCACCACAAGGGGAAAAUUCUGGUCCGUUCAGAAGUAUCCAGAGUCUUCCCACACUGAACGAUUAACCAUCACAUUGACCAUGCCUUCAGUGAUACAGCCAUAGCACCUGUCCUUCUUCCACAAAGGCACAGGAAGGUGCUUGGCAAUUUUGGGGCUUGGAUUAUGAGUAUGUAUGGGCUUGGUGUAUGAACAUUGUGGAAAAAUUCCUUACAGUAUUUAGAAUUCUGGGUGAAGCAGAUACAGAGUUAUCUAAAAGUAGGAAAAAGGGUAUCUAAAAAGGGUAUCUAAAGGGUAUCUUAUGUAGACAUGCAUUAAUCACACAAUGUUUGUUACAGGCACCACCCAUAGUGAAAGAAAUAUUUCAUGAGAUAAAUAAUAUACAAAAUACAUUCUAGGGCUGAUUAAUCUCUUAAACUGGUCAAAAUACAAAUAUUUGUUAAGUGGAAUUAUUUCACAUUUGGUGUGACUAGGAAGGGAAUCUAAAAAACAUUUAAGAAAAUUUAUUUUCUUAAAGGCUUUUUUCUUUUCAGAAUCUAGUUAGCAAAAUAGGAAACUUGGGACUGUGGUGGGUUUGGAGAAUUAACAAUGUUGUGUUCAAAGACCUGAUAAAGUAUUCCUCACAAUCCUUCAUACCAAGGUCAAAAUGUUAUUCCCAUUGUAAUAUAGUUUUGCAACAUCCUGAACAUGUACAGUCAACACAAAAAUGUUGUUCAAGCCACAGAAUUUUGCAGGAUAAGAUCUAUGACAUCUGCAAAGCAUGUAAGUGAGAAUUUCAUUAUCCCCUUUCAUUCCUCUGCAAGGUUGGCACCUGAUACAGGAAAGGCAUUUUGAGGAAUGGUUAGGUCUGAAAAGCCCACUGAUGGAAGAAACCACAUUAAAAAUUCUGGAUGCACAACCUUCAAAGGAGAGUUGGUGGGAAGAGAUUAAGAGCAGGAAAAAGAAAAUAGAUAGCAGGAAAAAGGUUAAGAAAAAAAGGAGGUAACAAGACUACUUGCAGUGGAAGGCAGAUAAUUUAGGCUAUGAGCCUAAAGGGAAGUUGUGCAGCACUCCAGUGGUGUGGGCAAAGAGCUUACAUUUGAAACACUGAAGAACAGGAAAUUGCCAAAGGGUUUUAGAAAGUAGUUUAGCCAGAAUAAUAACGUUAUUAACUGAAUGAAGACUUUAAAGUGGCAUUUUCAGGACAUGGGGAUAGGAGAAGGUUACAAUAAUUGAGACAAAGCAAUAACCUUAGCAUGGUAUUUUUGCUCAUAGCUUAGGAACAAAAAUAAAUCCACCCUACAUGCAUUGAUUUUUAAAAUUCUCUGUAAUCUUUAUACUCAAGAUAGCAUGGAUUUUGUUGUCACCUUCCAAACCUUGACAAAUUACUUCAGUUUUGGUAUAGCACUUUUGUAAUUGUUCUAGUGGGCUCAGAAGAAGUCUACAAAUAAAUACUAACUCCUGAG